rnacentral:rRNA from 1 species
AGUGAACGCUGGCGGUAGGCCUAACACAUGCAAGUCGAACGGCAGCACAGUAAGAGCUUGCUCUUACGGGUGGCGAGUGGCGGACGGGUGAGGAAUACAUCGGAAUCUACUUUUUCGUGGGGGAUAACGUAGGGAAACUUACGCUAAUACCGCAUACGACCUACGGGUGAAAGCAGGGGAUCUUCGGACCUUGCGCGAUUGAAUGAGCCGAUGUCGGAUUAGCUAGUUGGCGGGGUAAAGGCCCACCAAGGCGACGAUCCGUAGCUGGUCUGAGAGGAUGAACCGCCAAACGGAAACGGAGACAGGUCCCAGACCCCUAGGGGGGGAAGCAGGGGGGAAUUUUGAACAAGGGGCGCAAGCUGGACCCACCAAUCCCGGGGGGGGAAAGAGGCCUUGCGGGUUGUAAGGCCUUUUUGUGGAAAAAAAAAAGCAGCAGGUUAAUCCCCCGCUGCUCGGACGGUCCCCAAGAAAAAAGCACCGGCAACCUUCGUG